AAAAUCGCAUGUAGUUGUACAUUUAGUCUGAUUUUCAAAUUAUCCGGAAAUAAUCGUGUUUGGUUUUUUACAUUAGUGUCAUAAUUCUGCAUCCAGUGUUGAUCUGCGAUAUUGUAAAUAAUUGCAAAUCUUUGUUUUCCAUAAAAUUUUAGGUUAAGAAUUAGUAUUUUCAGGUACACAUGGUUUCCCAUGCUCAAUUUAUCCAAGGAUAGAGAGGCUGCAUCACAAAUCAGCAAUGAAGUCACUUCUGGAUAUAACAUCAGCUUUUGUAGGAGAAAACUCUAAUUUCUUUACACCAGAGAUGUUACAAGAACUGCCAAGAAAUGUAUUAGUGAAUAUACUGCCUUAUUUGAAUGCUGCAUUUCUGCACAAAAUCUGCAUCAAAAUCUCAGACCUUCAGUGUUCAGAGCUGUGGAAAAAACAUGUCCAGAAGAGAUGGAAUUUUUGGAAUCGGAUUGGUAGCACCUUCUCGACUGUCUUUAGUGACAGUGAAAGGACAGAAGAUUUCCAUAAAGUCUAUCUGAUCAAACAUUUCCUGGAUCUGCUGAACUACUGCUGUCUCAAUGUCCAUGUUCCAGAUCCUAUUGGAUUACUGAAUUGUCCUCUACACAAAAUGAAACCAUGGAAUAUUGUAACCAAUACAUCACUUCAGUCAGCAAAAUACAUCAAUGAACUCAUACAUUACGCUCAGUACGCAGAAUCAGUGAGCCUGGUGGGCUCUCAGUGCAGUUGGAUUUGUUGUCAGAGGGAAUUGCUUGAUCGUCUGCUAGAAGCUACAAAGACCGUCAAUCUUCAUGUUGUUAAUGACACGUACUAUGAUGGAGUGAGAACCCUGUUAUGGAAUCUUAUCAACAAAGGAAAAUUAGAAGAAGCUAACUUCUCUUCCAUUACUCCAACAUUAUCUCAGACAAAUCUACAUGACUUACUAAAGAUUUGUGCAGGCGUUACUGUGAAUAGACUUGUGAAAAAUGAUACGCCUCCACCAAAAAGGCCCAGAAAGCGUCCAAGAGAGUCUUUAGAAGACGCCUCCAGUAGUUUCACCACAUCGGUUAUUUUAGAUUCAGGAUAUGAUUUACCUGUGAGUAAAAAAGUGUGUGUGAGGUUAGAUGACCCAGACAACUCCUUGGAUAACUCUGUCGUGAGCAUCACCACAACUAAGGAGGUACCUAGAAUAGUUGACGUCAUUGACUUUACUGGAGGACAACAGGAGGAAUCUCAGCCCUCAACCUCAGCAGGGAACUCAGCAAAUACAACCGCAGCAGCAUCGGAAGACUUUUCUUAUGAAGAGGAAGACUUUGUCGACCACGAGACAGAUCCACGUCUAGAAAUGGAGGACAUAUCUGCAUUCAGUGUGUGUGGCAGCUAUAUGGCAGAUAGAUCUGUUAGCAAUGAUAGUGACCUCUAUGAUGUUGCUGUUCAACCUAUCAUGAGAAUGAAUCCCAGGCAGCGGUUUCCACAACCUCCUGUACCUUUAGUGGACGUCUUUGUCAGUCAAGUAGACUCAGAACAUCCUGUGAAAGGAGUCUCUUCUUUUUCAGUAACCUGUGCUAAUCUGACAGGGCUUCUUAGAGUUCUGCCUAAUUGGAAUGAUCUAAGAAAAAUUAGUCUGUCACAUGCUACUAUUGAUGGUGAGUUUAUUAUGAAUGCUCUGCUUGACAAAAUCCGUAAUCAUCAAAUUUCACAUCUGAUGUUAGAUGACUGUUAUUUGUCAGACCAGUUCUACUCAAGACUCCUCAGUGUUCUACAAAACCAUUUCAAAAUAAGUGGACAAGCAUUGGAACUUGUUGAUGUUCAGGCGUCAUCUUCUCCCCUGUCUGUGCUCUCUACAGAAAAAUACAAAGAAACCCAAUACGGAGUGAAGAAGUUGAACCUUAGUAUGAAUACUUUCCAUUCUUCUGGAUUGGAAGCCCUAACAACACUGAUCAAGUAUGAUAGGGCACUAACUCAUCUGAAACUGAAUGGCUGCUUUCUCCAAGAAAGUCAAGUUUGUCAGCUUCUGCAGGCUUUGUCAGAGAAUCCACAGCUCCAGAUGCUUGGACUCAGUGGAAAUUUAGUGGCAGAUUCUGAUGUGGAGUCAGAGCUACUUAAUUUCUUGUCCAAAGUCAAAACCCUCACCACCCUCACCAUGAACUACAGCAGACUAAGACCACUGUUUGUUAGUGACCAAGCUUUUGUGUCAGCCGUGAAGAAUCAUCCAAAGUUGAAGGAACUGUCAAUGAAAAAUAAUCAUUUAGGUGCUAGUGCAUGCCACUUUUUACAGCUAUUGUGCAGUGAAGGACAACUUUCCUUGCAACAUUUAAAUGUCGGGUAUAACUGGAUGAAGAUUGAUGACAUCAUAAAAAGUGCAAAGGAAAUACAGGCAUGUAGAGAAAAAAAUGAAGAAUUUUACAGACCCAUACUACAGAGUUUAAUACUGAGUGGGAACAGGCUAAAACCGAGGGAAUUUGAAAUCGUGAGAAACCUGUUCAAACCGUUAGUUGUAGAACUUGAAAUUAACAGCAUUGAUUACUCAGUUCCACAUGCUGAACACGUGGCUCAGAUGUGAAAAGGUAAACAGGUGCAGAAAUUACGUUUUGCGGAAAGCCAGAUUCCUGGAAAGGAAAACAGUUGGCAUCGUUUCCACUCCAUUUGGGAUUUUGCAGGCCAGUACGAUUUCAUUAAAUACACACUGUCACGCAAACUCCCCAACGAGUGAAUGAAAUAUAUCCAUUAAAAUCAAAGUUCCUGGCCUUUUUAUUCCCCUAAAAGACAAACUUUAUUUAUACAAGAAUUUUGUGAAAUCCGGUAUCUAAGGCCAAUAUCCCGGUCGAUCCUGCAUUAUUUCACAAUAUUCAUCACUAGA